UACGUAGGGUGCAAGCGUUGUCCGGAAUCAUUGGGCGUAAAGCGCGUGUAGGCGGUUCGGUAAGUCCGCUGUGAAAGUCGGGGGCUCAACCCUCGGAUGCCGGUGGAUACUGUCGAGCUUGAGUACGGAAGAGGCGAGUGGAAUUCCUGGUGUAGCGGUGAAAUGCGCAGAUAUCAGGAGGAACACCAAUUGCGAAGGCAGCUCGCUGGGACGUUACUGACGCUGAGACGCGAAAGCGUGGGAGGCAAACAGG
rnacentral:rRNA from 1 species